rnacentral:lncRNA from 1 species
UCGCCGUGUUGAUUUAUCUUUUUUGUUCGUGACCAUAGGUCUUUUCGAGGCCAUUUGAGUUUGACGCUUCCUUUCGGUGCUCGAGCUUGGGGACCCGAACUUCUCGUUACUUUGAGGAAGUCGAUUUCUCCUCGGCCUGUGUCGAGUUUCCUUUUAGUGACUGAGGAUUGUUUGAUAGGAGUAUCCUUCCUCAUUGAGAC